AACGGCAAAUCGAGGCGUAUACAGUGGGUCGAGACCCUGUGCCGGAGGAGGCGGGGAAAGGAGGUGUGUGCAGUGGGUCCAGACCCUGUGCAGAAGGAGGUUACAUGUCGUGCUGUGAUGAGCUGAUGUCCUGCCUCAGCUGGCCUUUGGACCCUGUGCUGCUUCAGGCAGGAUCCAGACUCUCUAUCUGCCACCUGGGUACAGUGAACAUAGGGCCUUUAAUGAACGCACCAGGCUGCAGCUGGAAGAAAGCUUCCAAGACUCCCGGGUACCUCAGCACCAGCCGCAUUACAGGUCAUCAGUGGAUGUUUAAAAUUCACGCACUUCCCGGUUAGAGCAGCGCCCCUGUAUAUCAGCUUUCGAUUGCCUCCUCUUCAGUACAGUGCGCUGUUCAAAUGUGGAAAUGCAACACACCCCAAUCAAGAGUGACUUCAGAAGGGAUGUUGAAACUCAUAAGACUGGAAAGUAUUACAAAAGAAUCGCUGAAGACUUAGGACUCUGUUAGUCCAUAGGCAGGCAGAUAGUUUAGAAAUGGAGCAGAUUGGGCAUCCUUACUGUUCUUACUAGGAGGGGGCACUCUCCAAUGGACACUCUCCAAAGGGCACUCUCCAAAGGGCACACUCCAUAGGGCACUCUCCAUAGGACACUCUCCAAAGGGCACUCUUCAUAGGGCACACUCCAUAGGGCACUCUCCAUAGGACACUCUCCAAAGGGCACUCUCCAUAGGACACUCUCCAAAGGGCACGCUCCAUAGGGCACUCUCCAAAGGGCACUCUCCAUAGGGCACUCUCCAUAGGACACUCUCCAUAGGACACUCUCCAAAGGGCACUCUCCAUAGGGCACUCUCCAUAGGGCAAGGGCUCCCUAGGUAAUGCUCAGACAGGGGUGAUAGAGA